CGCGUCACUGAGGAGGAAGUGUAGUUCGUCAACUGGCGGCACAGUUUAUGACUCUGUGAAAACCUGCUACACUUCGGAAUUAUAGUUCACAUGGAGCCAGCCGUGGGCGAAGUUAUUAACCAGUGAAAACCCUAAGGAGAGAAGGGGUUUUCGAGAACUAUGGUAGGUGUGUUACUUUAGGCAUUUAAUCAGAAUAAUCUUAAUCAAUUGCGUACGUUAACGAUUUGAAAUACAACAAAUAUUUUUCGGAGAUUGACAAACUGUAUCACAUCUGGCGAAAAUAAUUGUCGAGAAAAAGAACCACAGUAUACUACUUGACGCACUUCACUAAACUUGAACAAUAGCGUGACAUACCUUCGAUAGUCCUACAUUUUCCGUGUUAUAAUUUGUUAAAUAUCAGAAAAAAUGUUUCGCCUUACCUGAGCUAUAGUUGUCAACUGGCCACACCCUUUUACUAGAGUGUAGAAGCCAACGCCCAUAGACACAACGGGAAAUGAAGUCACCACCGGUAAUAUUCCCAAAUCCCUCCUCGUUUUUAAACGGAUAGAACAGUCAAAUACAUCUGUGGUACAGUCAUACUAAUAGGAUCAAUUAUGGUGGUCCUGGUGCAUUUUUAUUAUCUGUCAUUAUGGUACUGGAGUUGCAAAUACAUUGUUGGACAACAUUAUUACAUUGUUGCACUGCAUAACCAUAUACAUUGAAUCAGCUGAUCACAACCUGACGAUGACGAGUUACUAUUAUGUUUCUCAUUGACAAAAUAUUUAAGUGUCCUGGUGAAAAUCUCACAGUCAUGUAGCCACUGUUUAUCCAAUAUAAUGACUGCAUUUGAAUGGACAUGAUUUGAGAAACAUAAGCAUGCAGUAUUGUAGAGAUACUCCAUAGAGACUCCCUUUUAAGGAAUCUAACAUAAUACACAUGUAGGAAUAAUGAGUCCAAAGUUCUAUUUGCAUUGUGAGGGAACAGUCGCAGAUGUGUCUGUCCAAGUACUGAGUUACUAAUUAAUCAUUGAAAUUAAAAUAAAUGGAUGCAGAAACAAUAGUCAAUGUGAAACCUUUUAGAUACGUAAACAAGGUGUGGGAAAUAGAUGUAUUUUUUUUUAUACAUGUCUUACUGCUAUGUUUAUCAUGACUGAGAAACUAUUUCAAAUUGUUUACAUAGAUAGCCACACCCAACGUUUAAAGUCCACUUACAAUUUGUAAUUUGCAACUUCAGGCCAACACCCCUAAACCUAAUUUCUGUAUUUGCAGAUAAAUAAAAGCUGUGAGGAUGACACCACACAUAGUAAUUACACAUAACAGUCCCUUGAUUACAAUUGUGAGUUGAGCCAUAAUACAAUUGUGUAUGGUAUGAGGACAGGGGGAGCUAUAUCAAUCUCAUAGCACCCAGUGGCCCUACACCAAUAACCUGCACAUUUCAGACUCUAUUACAAACAUUCAGAAUGUAUCUCGGCAAUACCUAGUGUUCACUUGAGGCAUGUUAUCAUACUAUGAAAGGAAGGAGGUGAGGGGGCGACCCAGAUGACCAAGAUGUCAUAUCCUCACACGUCUUUGCUUACAAUCAUAUCAUGAGUAACCUGCUUAAUUACUCACAAGCCUCAACUUGUGACAAUCCAACCUUGAACUGACUGAACAUUCAUCUGUACUCAAAGUAGCAAAUGACUCACUGUUCUCAUUGUUCAAUUGAAAGUUGCAUCAGUUGGUUUUAAUAUAUAAUGUAUAAUUAAGCAAUAAGGCCCGAGGGGCUGUGGUACAUGGCCAAUAUACCAUGGCUAAGGGCUGUUCUUAAGCACGACGCAACACAGAGUGCCUGGAUACAGUCCUUAGCUGUGGUAUAUUGGCCAUAUAUCACAAACCCCUGAGGUGCCUUAUUGCUAUUAUAAAAUGGUUACCAACAGAAUUAGAACAGUAAAAUAAAUGUUUUGUCAUACCCAUGGUGUACGGUCUGGUAUACCACGGCUUUCAGCCAAUCAGCCAUUUGGCUUCUAAGCCAUUAUGUCUUUGUAACCAUUUGCUGUUGGACACUAGGGCUGUUAUCCCAUCCAUGUUAGCCUCUGGUGCUGUUAUCCCAUCCAUGUUAGCCUCUGGUGCUGAUAGCCUCUGGUCCUGUUAUUCCAUCCAUGUUAGCCUCUGGUGCUGUUAUCCCAUCCAUGUUAGCCUCUGGUGCUGUUAGCCUCUGGUGCUGUUAUCCCAUCCAUGUUAGCCUCUGGUGCUGUUAGCCUCUGGUGCUGUUAUCCCAUCCAUGUUAGCCUCUGGUGCUGCUAGCCUCUGGUCCUGUUAUUCCAUCCAUGUUAGCCUCUGGUGCUGUUAGCCACUGGUGCUGUUAUCCCAUCCAUGUUAGCCUCUGGGGCUGUUAGCCUCUGGUGCUGUUAUCCCAUCCAUGUUAGCCUCUGGUGCUGCUAGCCUCUGGUCCUGUUAUUCCAUCCAUGUUAGCCUCUGGUGCUGUUAGCCACUGGUGCUGUUAUCCCUUCCAUGUUAGCCUCUGGUGCUGAUAUCCCAUCCAUGUUAGCCUCUGGUGCUGUUAGCCUCUGGUGCUGUUAUCCCAUCCAUGUUAGCCUCUGGUGCUGUUAUCCCAUCCAUGUUAGCCCCUGGUGCUGUUAUCCCAUCCAUGUUAGCCUCUGGUGCUGUUAUCCCAUCCAUGUUAGCCUCUGGUGCUGUUAGCCUGUAAGUAAGCAUUUCACUGUAAGGUCUAUACCUGUUGUAUUCGGCGCACGUGACAAAUACACUUUGAUUUGAUUAAAUAAAUGCAGCAAAUUGGCAAUAUAUAAACAUUAUACCACAAUGACCAAGUCAUAUUUGCAAAGACCAUUUGAUUUUAAGUUCAGACAUAUAAAGUUUGUAUAGGAAAAAACAUUUAUAAUAUGCAUACUUUCAGUUUUUCACAAAUUUACUUUACUCGCAUAUAACUCGCAUAUAGGUAGAGGCCUGCACAGGCAUGAAUUUUAAGCCAGAGCCCAACCCAUGCCCACAACAUUCAGGCCAUACCCUACCAAUGCCCGAUUGCUUCUGCCAAAUUGAAGGCCCUGUUAGUAAAUCCAUUAGCUGCUCCGCUCUGUCUGUCACUCGCUCUCUGCACACAAUUCGUUCUCUAUGCGCUCUGCUCAUGGCGGCUAUGAGUUCGUGAGUAUCCAUAUUAACAGCUCCGUUUGAGCUGCUCUGCUCAAUGAAGAGACAUGAGACAGCUGUUAGCUACUUUUCAUCACUCUAAACUCCGACAAAACUCAAGGAACAUUAUUUUCUGUGAAAUAAUCUCUGCCGAUUUAUAUUUGACGAGGUUGAAGCACUUCUGUCACCAUGUUAUGAUCUUAGUCGGCAGGGUAGCCUAGUGGUUAGAGCGUUGGACUAGUAACCGGAAGGUUGCAAAAAUAUAUAUUAUACUGAACAAAAAUAUAAACAACAUGUAAAGUGUUGGUCCCAUAUUUAAUGAGCUGAAAUAAAAUAUCCCAGAAAUGUUCCACAGACACAAAAGCUUAUUUCUCAUAAAUGUUUUGCACAAAUUUGUUUACAUCCCCGUUAGUGAGCAUUUCUCCUUUGCCAAGAUAAUCCAUCCACCUGAUCGGUGUGGCAUAUCAAGAAGCUGAUUAAACAGCAUGAUCAUUACAUAGGUGCACCUUGUGCUGGGGACAAUAAAAGGCCACUCUAAAAUGUCCAGUUUUGUCACACAACACAAUGCCACAGAUGUCUCAAGUUUUAAGGGAGCUGCAGGAAUGUCCACCAGAGCUGUUGCCAGAGGAUUUACUGUUAAUUUAUAUGCCAUAAACCGCCUCCAACUUCGUUUUAGAGAAUUUGGAAGUACGUCCAACUGGCCUCACAACCGCAGACCAUGUGUAACCAAGCCAGCCCAGGACCUCCACAUCUGGCUUCUUCAUCUGCGGGAUCGUCUGAGACCAGCCACCCGGACAGCUGAUGAAACUGAGGAGUAUUUCUGUCCGUAAUAAAGCCCUUUUGUGGGGGAAAUCCAUAGAUUGGGGCCUAAUGAUUUUCUUAUAUGAACUAAAGUAAAGGCUGUGCUAUAUCAGACCGUAUACCACAGGUAUGACACCAAUGGCUUGACUACUGUUCUAAUUACAUUGGAAACCAGUUUAUAAUAUCAAUAAGGCAUCUUGGGGGUUUGUAGUAUAUGGCCAAUACACCACGGCUAAGUGUUGUAUCCAAGCGCUCCAUGUUGCACGGUGCAUAAGAACAGCCCUUAGACAUGGUAUACUGGCCAUACACCACACACCUCCAGGCCUUAUCGCUUAAAUAAGAGGUACUAAAUAAGGUUUCAUCUUAUUGUAAGAAAAUAAAUUCUACUUACCAGUGAUAAGGUUGCUUGGGGCAAAAGCAAAGAGAGACAGAAAACUGGAGGGUCGCCGGUUCAAAUCCCAAGUCUCUCAUGAAAAGAUUAUGGGAAGUGAGCAUCCUAAUUGCAUCUCCUACCAUUGUGCCCUUGAGCAAGGCACUUAACCUCUGGAAUGAGGACAGAGUAUUCUUCCCCUUUUCUGUCAUGUUCUCACAGGAUCUCUGUGAUCUCAGCAGAUGUAACCCCUGAACUCUCCGUGUCAGUUUCCUCUCCCUGGUUCUUCCAGCACAGGGAGCAUAGCAGUACCACACAGGUAGACAGCCAACACCAUCCACACCACCACCCCAAACAGCAUGAAGGACAACAGGUUACCGUCCAUGGUCCCACUUGUUGUGGCGCGGGAGGGAAAGAGAGGGAGGUGGAGACAGAAAGAGGCUCCCUUGACCUUCCAAAUGGACAGACAUUGUGCAGACCCUAGUGACCAAAAGGAGGAUGAUAGAAUAAGUCUGUGUGUGUGUGUUCAUGCAUGUGUCUGUGUUUACAUGGGAGACUUAAGUAUUCUGUAAAGAGGACCUAGUUGGCUGCCUAGAAGCAGGUGAGUGUUUAAAUGAUGCCAUUAUCUUAGUGCAAACAGAACGCACAUUAUUCUGUCAGUACGGCCUCACACCAUUUAGUUCAUAUUCAUGUGUACAUCCACUGUGUUUCCAACACUUUAACUACAUGACAUAGACUGACCAGGUGAAUCCAGGUGAAAGCUAUGAUCCCUUUUUGAUGGCAAAUCCACUUCAAUCAGUGUAGGGGAGGAGACAGGUAAAAAAAAUAUGUAAGGUGCGUGCAACUCAAUAUUAGGAAGGUGUUGCUCAUGUUUGAUAUACUCAGUGUAAAUACUAUCUGCUUAUCUGUUCAACCCAGAUUAAAUAUAGAAACACACUAUAGAAAACCUGUCACCCAUGCCACAUGGAAUAUUAGUGCAGCAAAGGUAGGCUACAGAUUAGUAGUUACUUCUAUGUGAGACUAUCAGUCUCUGUCUCCCUCUGUUGGCUAAAUGAUGCGGCGAAGGCAAACGAAAAGACAAAAAACAACCAAUUGCUGAACACCACAGCUCCGUCAGGUGUAAGAACACUGACUACCCAGUAGCAGCCUACUUUAUUGAGGCCAACCAUCCUAUUUCCUCCCUCAUAUACACAGGUAUGGAGCAUGUUACCCUACCAAGGAGAAGAGGUAACAUUGAGACAUCACUGCUGGAACGAAGCCAACUGGAUCUCACACCUAAAAACACUGACCCCUAGUGGUUUGAAUAUUGACUUUGAUCUCAGGCCCUUUCUAUGAACAUUUCAACACAAUGUACAUGUUUUGCCUACAGUUUAUUAGCUGAUACUGCAUAUCAUGUUUCCCAUGUUGAUGAUGUUCAUCAUGCAUUAUUGUUUGAACCACGAGAAGAUAUUACAUGCAGGCUGUGUCCCAUAGGGCAGCACACUGUUGGCCCAGGGUCAUCUGGGUUUGGCCUGGGUAGGUUGUCAUUGUAAAUAGUCAUUUGUUCUUAACUGACUUGCCUACUUAAAUGAAAAAAAUAGUAAAUCAAGUAAAUGAAAUGUAAACAAUAAUAAUCAUAAGAUGAUAUUAACGUGAUGUAUUGUAUUAAAUCUAAUCAUGUUGACAUAAGAUUAUAUUAACGUGAUGUAUUGUAUUAAAUCUAAUCAUGUUGACAUAAGAUUAUAUUAACGUGAUGUAUUGUAUUAAAUCUAAUCAUGUUGACAUUAUGUAAAUAACUGCCUUGUGUAUUCAACAUCUUGACACACGCAGUAAAAUAAAAGUUUUACAGUU